UACGAAGGGGGCUAGCGUUGCUCGGAAUCACUGGGCGUAAAGCGCACGUAGGCGGCUUUUUAAGUCAGGGGUGAAAUCCUGGAGCUCAACUCCAGAACUGCCUUUGAUACUGAGAAGCUUGAGUCCGGAAGAGGAGAGUGGAAUUCCCUGGUGUAGCGGUGUAAAUGCGCAGAUAUCAGGAAGAACACCCGUGGCUAAGGCGGCCUCUCUAGUACGGGUACUGACGCGAGACGCGAAAGCGUGGGGAGCGAACAGG
rnacentral:rRNA from 1 species